AGGGUCAGGGUGGGGGUGGGAGACAGUUUGCAAGCGGAGCCUGGCACAGACCCUCUCGGAGGGCGACAUUCCGGCGGGAGCCUCUGCUGUCUUUGAUACGUGUUCCAGAUGGCAGGGCAGACUUGCUGGAGUCAGACGGAUGCCGGAAUGUCAGGGCCAGCUGGGUUCUUCAUUUCCAGGUGGAAGUUCUCAACUCCUCUCUCCUGUCGGCAAAGCCUUUCCCAGCCGGUUCAGCGCAAUCCCAGCCCAUUCGUUCCCAUCGCUGUCAAACACAAAGUUGGGGCUUGAUUCCCACCAGCCCCCCACCCCACACCGUUCAGUUGAUUAUUGGCGGAGGAUUCAUGCGGGAGUGACAUCAUGUGGCAAGCAGCGCUAAAGGGCCCCCAUCAGGGAUCAGGGCCCCACUGUGCAAGGUGCUGUACAAACACAGAACCAAAAGACCCCCAAAGAACUUCCCAACUAAGGAUAGGAUGAGAGACGACCGGUGGACACGGACCGACGGGAGGAGACCAAGAAAACAGUGAGUUACUUACGAAGAGCAUGAGACGCAGCUGUCCCAACACAACUCCUUGCUGUCCAGGGUUCUAAAGGCAUCCCAGGUCCACAUGCUGUCUGAUGACAAAGAAGCUGAGUGGGGCAAAGCAUCGGGGCUGCUGACAGAGGUGAUGACAGCAAAGCAGGAAGGGUUUAAGGUAGGAUCGUAAAUCACCAAGAGGGAGAGACAGGGCCUCACUCACACAGGGGCAAGCCGGGAGGGACUCCACUGAGGCCAGGAGGAAUACGCCAGUGUAAACAUGCAGCGAAUCGGGCCCAACAUUUCCCGAUUGUUUGAAAAAGGAACUGUGGGGGUUGGGGGCGCUUGCCAAACCAAGCCAAGGGCAGGCUGCCAUCAGGCAAGGGCAACCUUUGCUGUUCAUUCCAAUGUAUCUCUAGGGAGGAAGCAGGAAGUGAAAGAAGCAUUAUGUGGCUUCUUUGGUGUAUGCGUCUCCUAUGAGAGGCAACUGUGGUUGAAUGGAUAGGACACCAGUCUGGCUCUCAGGAGCCCUGGGAUUUGCUCCCAACUGGUCCACUGGCCUGCAGUGUGAUCUUGGAUAAACCCAUUUGGCUGUCUUGUCUAUUUAGAUUGUAAGCUCUUUGGGGUAGGGACUGUCUCUCACAGCACCUAGUAGAAUGGGGCCACAAUCUUGGUUGGAAUCUCUAGGUAAUGUUGGGGUUUGUCAUUUGAAGGACAUUUGUUGGGGUCACAACACUUUGCUUGCCUAGAGCAUUUUCCAUGCACACUAAUAUUAGAACAUGGGAAUGGCCAUGCUGGGUCAGACCAAAGGUCCAUCUAGCCCAGUAUCCUGUCUUCCGACAGUGGCCAAUGCCAGGUGUUUCAGAAGAAACUAACAGAACAGAUAAUCAUCAAAUGAUCUAUCCCAUAUCGCUCAUUCCCACCUUCUGACACAGAGGCUAGGGACACUGUCCUUGCCCAUCCUGGCUAAUAGUCACUGAUGAACCUAUCCUCCAUGAAUUUAUCUAGUUCCUUUUUGAACCCUGUUAUAGCCUUGGCCUUCACAAUAUCCUCUGGCAAGGAGUUCCACAGGUUGACUGUGAAUCUUUGUGAAUUAAGACUCUCAGCAUCCCUGGGAGUUAGGCCAGUGUUGUUAUCCCUGGGGGAAAACUGAGGCACAUGAAUGUGUAGUGACACAGCCAGGGUCAUGCAGCCAGUCAGCGAUAGAAACAGAACUAUUCUCAACUUGGCAUCCUGUGCUUUAACCACUAGGCAAAGCUGCUUUGGGGAAGACAAACAGGUUUAGAAACAUAAGAAGUCUCCUUCUCCCUGCAAUCUCUGGUUCAUCUCUUGAACAGAACCUGAACCAAACCUUGCUGUAGGCUCUGAAAUGUAUGUCGGACUUUCCAUUCCAGCCCUCACAAGUAUCUCCCAUUGUUAUGACUGUCUCUGUACCUUGGGCUACUAGCCAAAGGAGUGGACCUAGGAACAUAAGAAUUUCCAGUGGAUCAAUAGCCCAUCCAAAUCAAUAUCCUAUCACUGACAGUGGCUGGUACCAGAUGCUUUAGAGAAAGGUGAGAAAUCCACAUAGACAAUUUUGCAACCUUCAUCCCAUAGGGAUAAUUCCUUCAUAAUGCCGGUUAGGGUUGGCUUAUGCCCUAACAACUGAGCAUUGAUACCCCUUAUACAUAUUUAUCCUAGUGUGGGUGAUGUUCUUCUUGCCUAUAGAAAUGCUGAAUGAUUUCAGGAAUAUUUUCCAGCUUUUUCCUUGGUGAUAUAAUGGAGCCUCAGUGAGUCUCACAGGUUAGUCAGACAUUGUAUUUGAAAAGCUUCAUUUCCUUUAGUUAAUUGUGAAGAUAUUUUACAAACCCUCCUGAUGAAGGCUGCUCCUAUCAGAUUUCUAGUUUAAUGUAGCUUUUAAAUGGUUCAUAUCAUUAACUUAAACAUCCAGAUUGAUGGGUGCUAAUCCAGACUCAAAACCCUUUGAUGGUCACCUGCCACUUGUUCCUGGGAGUGGAACCAUCACUAUUGUUAUUAUUUGUGCUACAGCAGAGCCUCGGAGCCUGCACCCUGGACCAGGGCCCCAGUGCGCUAGGUGCUGUACAAACACAGACCAAAAAGAUGGUCCCUGCCCGAAACAGCUUACAAUCUAACCUGGUAGCUGCCUAUGCUAUCCUAGCAAUGCAGGGCUGGAAGGGACCUCGAGAGGUCAUCUAGUCCCGCUCCCUCCAUCUUUAAUAAAGUCUGCUGUGACUUUGCUCCAUCUCCCUCCCAUGAUUUAAUCAUUUAAAAUAAUGGGUAGAGAAGAUGAAGGGAGGUGUCUGGCUUACUCUGGAAACACUACUGAGCUAUAUCUAUGAAGCUGCCUAAUGCUGCACCAGCUGCAUUGUACACCGUCCUGCUGUUAGUUACACAGUGUGGGGUUACUCCAGAUUUACACCCAGGCAGCUGAGAGAGAAAUCCAUUCUUUUGAGCCCUGUAUCCACAAGGCUGGUUAUUGCAGCAGCAAUCACACCACAUGGAGCCUGGUCUGGGUGGACUUGGAGAUAUCCCAUACAAAUCAUUAGCCAGCGAGUGAAGAAUAAUCACUCCCCAAGUGCUGCUCCAGGCUUACUCCUUCAAUCUGGUUCUCCAAAUAAAGGCCGCAAGAAGCAACCGGGUCUAAAUAUGAACUAAGUCCCCCUUGGCAAAAAAAGCAAAAGAGAUGCUUCUCUUAAGGCUUGAUCCAACAAUGGGAAAAGUUCCCACAGACUGAUCUGCCAGUAAGAUGAGCAUUGUGGGGGAAGCACCCAUGCAGCACCAGCCUGCUGGAGUUGGUCAUGUUUUUGGAGAAACUGGUUGAGAAGCCUGGAAUUUAAGCUCCUUCAGUUGGGCUGAAAGAUUCUAAAGAAUCUGAGAACAAUUUUGGUUAAAAAACACAGUAGUUGAAAAUAGUCAACAGGCCUAACGGAGACUUUUUAAUUGAUAGUUUCUUCGUGUUGCCCUAUAGUUAGAGGAAGGAGUAGGCUGUCCUGCCAGAUAUCCUAAGUGAUGUCAAACGACUUAUUUACAGGGGUAGCAUUGUCUGGUAACAGCACAGGGCUGGGUGUCAGACCACCUGGGCUCCAUGCCCUGCUUGGCUACUAAUUUGCUCUCUGACCAUGGGCAUUUAGGCAUGUGCUUCAAUCCUAUUGAUUUCAACAGGCCAUGUGCUUACUGCUAUGCUGAAUAGGGAUGGGCUUAAGCACGUGCAUAAAUGCUUUGCUGAAUUGGGACCUUAACAUGUGGGCAUAAUUACCAAAUGUUGCUUGUGAAGAUGCAGCCAAACCUACCAGUGUGGCAUGUGCGUCUAGCUCCACAUGUUGUUCCUCCUUUCUUCCCCACCCACCCAACAUAUUGCAUGCCAGUUGUUUUGCCUAGGGUCAGAUGGGAAGGGGGUCCCAUUGACAAGAGAAUUCCACAACAUAUUUAAGAAAUCACUGCUUAUUUCUUAACCAGCUGCUCUAAUUUUUCCUCUGGCUUUAAAAUUAUCCAUUGAUUUUAAUAAAUUUGUCCCAGACCCACAAGCACAGACAAUUAGAAACAAAAAGUAAAUUGGACAUAAGCACAAACGUGAAGGUAAGCAUGUGCUUAAAUGCCUUCCUGAAUCAGAGCUCAAGUGAGUUUGCCUGGCCAGCUGUUUUUUUUCCUAGCUCUUGUUUUGAUUGUGAAUAAGGGGACAGAAGUGAAGGUCCCAAAAGAUUUGGGACAAGAUUUGAUCCAGCCCUUGUCCAGAAAGUGAAUCCAGAUGACCACUGUGGAAGAACUGUCUUCUUUGUAAUUUCCUUGGGCAUAUAUUCUGUUCCUCCUCCUCUCUUCUGUUCUCAAUCACUUUCAUGGAUGCAGCGUUGCCAGGAAUCCUGAAGAUGCCGGAGCCCUGAGAAAAUCCCCCAAAGCCCGAGUCCCUGUCCAACAGCUUGAGGUUAGGUUGGUAUGAUAAACUAAAUGCAACUCCCAUCCCAGUCUUCCAAUCAUCAGUCCUAUCCUCACUUCCAUUCUCCCACCCCAAAAUACCACAUUCUGGGAGCCAGAAGUCUUACUCUAUUUCGUAUCCUGCCACCUCUGUUUUUUUGUUCUGUUUUUAAAGGUUUGAUCUUAACAGAACUUCUCAGGGGCGCAUUCGGUGGCAAUUGAUUUAAGAAAUUCCUAGAGAGAAGCCUUGGAAAAAUCCUCAGUGUUGCAGAACUGAUGCAAAUUACAAUAGAUGUAGCAACAAAUAACCGGUAAAAGGGACUUCAGGGAAGGGUUGAGGAUGGGGUACAUUGCCUGGCUGAGAAGUUAGUGAACAUUUCGAGCUGGAGAAGAGAGAGUCUGGGAGGGGAUGAUGGCUGUUUGCUGACUUUCCCCCUUUACAAAUGAAUCCAGGUGAAUCAAAGAGCCUAGGAGGCGAACACCAGUCCGUGUUGUGAGCUUUAUGGGACUUGUUCUGAAAAGUUCGCUCUCAGGGCCCAGCGCAGUUCUAAAACAACCAAUUUUUGUUAAUAAAACACACACAGUGUGGGCCAUUCCCAACAUGAAAUCACUGCACUCCAGAGCUUUUGGGGGUGGCGGGCGGAGUGAAUACUGCUUUGAGCCAAAAAAACGGACUUUAUGACUCCCCCACUGGCCUAAACUGUAAGUGAUAAUAAUAUUCUGAUUCUUGGCUUGCAAUGGGAAUCAGUUCCCAGAAAAAGGCCAGAAAUGAUCCAGCCCCACCAAAUUGUAGUUUAAAAAAAAGGGGGGGGAGCAACAGCCUCAUGCAGAAAUGUUUGCACGUUCCCAGAAUCUAAGCUAAUUUUGCACUCAAGGUUCUAUUCCCCCAGCGAGGCCACGCCCCUUCGAGCGUUAAAGCACCUCCCCGGCCUCUCAUUGGCUGGGCUGCGAGGUUCCAGUUCGGUGGCUAUGGCGGCGGAAAGGUUGCCUUGGCCACGCAUCCCUGUGUGAAUGCAUGACGUUCGCAAGGCUGGCGCCAGGCUGUCUGGAGCGGAGAGUUAGAUCAACACAGCUGGAGGGAGAGGGACACAGCUGGGCAAAGGGAGCAGAUUCCUCAACAAAAAAUAGGAUUGUGAGAAAAGUUCUUAAACAAAAACAGUUCAAACAAAAGCCUUAAUGACAUCCUUUCAUAAAAA